CAAUACGUCAUUCAAAUUGUUUUCGUGCCGGUUGUUAUGCGUAGAGUUGAAUUUAUUCCUCCGUAUUUGCUUCUGAUCGUUACAAUUUGCGUAAACACUGUCGAGCUGAUCGUUUUCGGGCCUCCAGUGGUUUUUUUUUUGAGAUAUUGGACUCUUUUCUUAGUGAUAAGUGAGCACAUUGACUCGUGAGCAUUGGACUCUUUUUUUUAGUGUUAAGUGAACAAAUUGACUUUUAUUUAGUUUAAGUGAGCAUUGGACUCUUGUUUUUAGUGAUAAGUGUAGUGUUUUAAGUGAUAUUUUUGUUUUACUCCGGAAAAAUGUCUGCACCUGGUAGAAAUCGAGUAAACUACUCUUUGUCUCGCCGGUGUGUUAAUUGCUCUUUACGUAUAGCGCCUAAUCUUCGUAGACGUCAAAUUGAAGAUAUAGAUGAACCAAUGCUUAUCCUUCUAAGAUCCUGGGUAACACCUACAUUGAUAUCGUCUGAUGACAUCCUGUGUGUAGAAUGUUUUGUAUUAUUACAAAACCAGACAGCAUCUAACUCAAAUCUGUCACUUGUAUCCCCUGCUCUUGGACACCUAAACAUAUGUUACGCAUGUGGCUUGUCAAUAGCAAGUCGCAGAACUCAUAGAGUCAGUCAAGAUUGUCCUCAAAGGAAUGUUAUACUAAGAUGGACACCAGCACAUCACGUGUUGCAUUUGGAACGAGUUUGUCUUCCUUGUUGGGCGGCUGCAUCAAGACAAGUCCAGAGGCAACCCGUUGCUGGCAGUAGCCAACACACUGUGGAGUCUGCACCGGAGACUGGUAUCAUAGAUAGAAACAUAAUUACAGAUAUGAUGAUUCCUGUACCACCACCACUGCCACCGCUGGUUCCACAACCAACAUCACCUCAGGCACAAGAAUUAAGUCAAUCAUUUUCAAAGAUUAACUCACAAAAAUAUUAACGGGUAUCUGCAAGUUCACGUCAUUGCCUAUUCCCUGGUUGUGAGAAUACUGAACGUCUGUUGGUACCAGGUACUUUAAAGGAAGUUCUUUUAUUACAUUAUAAAGUGUAUAUUCCCUUGUCUGCAAGAAUUUGCCGAUAUCAUUUAAAUAGCAAUCGUUGGGAUGAACUAGAAGCAUCAUAUUCCGAUUUUACUGGAUUUCAAGUAGAUGAUAUUUUCAGUAAACUUGAAAAAGCUACUGAGAGACAGUUGGACUUUAAUGACAUAAACUCAAUGGAUUCUCAUUUAUGCCAUUAUUGGUUAGGACUUACUGCAGAGCAGUUCAAUGAACUUUUAAAUUGUAAUCCUUUGUUAUACAAUCACUUUCCAAAUCCUUCUGUUGCUCUCAGUAUAUUUUUAGUAAAACUCAGAACAGGUGACAGUAAUGAAAGACUAUCAACUCUUUUUAAAAUGCCAAGAUCCACAUUGGAAAAAAAAAUGAACAUUGUGAGAAAUUGUUUAAAUGAACAGUUUGUUUCUCGAUAUUUAGGAAUAAAUCACAUUUCUAUUCAAAAUGUAGCAUCACGGAAUAGAAUCAUUCCAGAGGGCUUUUUUGGGGAUGCCAAUAUGGCUUCAGACGUUAAACCUGCGAUUGUAAUAUGUGAUGGCACAUAUGUUUAUGUCCAAAGCAGCAGUAAUUAUUUGUACCAAAAAAAAACGUAUAGUCUGCAUAAAUAUGCCAAUCUUGUCAAACCGUUUUUAUUUGUUUGCUGCGAUGGAUAUAUUUUAGAGUGCGUAGGGCCAUAUGAAGCCACAAAAAAUGACUCUUCGAUUAUGAGUGCCUUGUUUGCUACUGAAAAUAGUCCUAUGCGCUCAUUUUUCAGACCCGGUGAUGUGUUCAUUUUGGACAGAGGAUUUAGGGAUGUGAUUCCUGAAUUAGAAAAUUACAAUUAUAAAACGCACAUGCCACAGUCAUUAUCCGAAAACGAACAUCAAUUAACCACUGAGCAAGCUAAUAAAUCUAGAUGUGUAACUAUGUGCCGCUGGGUGGUAGAGGUUGUUAAUGGGAGAAUAAAAAGAGAUUAUAAAUUGUUUCGGCAGGAAUAUUUUAAUAGAGCGUCAAAUCAUCUUAUGAUUGAUUUCAAAAUAGCAUGUUUUUAAAUAAGUUCCAUCCUACAAUUGACGAUAGACCCGAUGCUUUGGAGUAUUUAAAUAUUGCUUUGUCGAGAUUAAAUACAGUAAAUUAUUUAUCAGAAUUUAUUCAAAGGGAACAUAUAAAUAGAAGACGUACGAUUUUCCAAAAUAUAAACAGCAAUGCUCCCCAUUUAAAUAACUUUCCAAGAUUGUCAUUAAUCGAUUUAAGAAGAUUUGCUUUAGGAUCUUAUCAAUUAAAACAAGCAAGGUCCUAUUAUGGAGAGCAUGUGCGGGCAAAUGGUACCUACAGUGUAGAAAUAAGCAAUGAAUUAUUGGAAGAAGAUUUGCCCUUAAUAUUCGGUCAAAAUAAUUAUCUACUUAGGGCUAGAAUUAAAUCGAGACAUAUCAGUAGCAGGAUUUAUUACACCUAUUUAUUAGUAAGUAAAGAGCAAGAUAGGGCAAACUCUUUAGAAAGCAUCAUUGCUCAUUAUUGUACUUGCUUAGUGGGAAAUCGUACAGUAGGAUGCUGCGCUCAUACGAUGACCGUAUUGUGGUAUCUAAGCUGGGGUCGUUUUAAUGAUAUAAGCGCUCCAGCACAAUUUCUAGACCAUAUAUUCCUUGAAGAAUAAAUGAUUUUUAUUAUAAUUGGUUGUGUUUUUUCUUAUUAAACAUCUGUAUAGCAUUUACUAUAUUUUAAACUCCUUUAUAAUUAAGCCCUUUCUAAAAUAAUCUACAGCUAAUCAUGGAUGUUACAGCGAUCUUACUAGGUAGCAGGGCAGUGAUUUUCCUAUGUCGCUUGCAGUAGAUGCUGUCAUAUAUGUCAUACAUACUCUAUAUACUAGGUACCUAGCAGUUUGCCAACAAUCUUGGGGUCAGCUUUUAGUCUAACCGAUGCAGCUGAAUACAGCAUUGCUCAAAGAGUGAUUGCCCAUCUGACCUUCACACCCGAUACACUGGGUUAUAACAUGUUACCUUCUGGUAAGAGGUUGUCACACUUGCUGGAUUCUAGCUACUCAUAACAAGUAUAUAUAUAACAAGUAUAUAAUACACCCAGAAUCAAGUUUAAAUGUAAGUACUAGCAGCCACCCAGCUGAAGUUUGUAAUGGAUGGUCACCCAAGUGCAAUCUGACCAAUUAGCUUAACUUAAGAUAUCUCCUUGUGGUUGUUGUAACGUAGCCAUAUGCUCCUCCAACCAAUUUAGCCCUAAGUAUAUUUAUUUCUUCUGGUGCCAGCAAAACCUACUUCCUCUGACUGCAAGAUAAACAGUUUAACAUAUUAUUUAGCAAGAAAAGAUGAUAUCUGAUGUUUUUAUUUCAUUUGGGAAUCAAUAUUAAUACUAAAAAUAUUUUAUUGUUUUAACGCAAAUUGUUUUUGAAAAAAUAUUGUCUAAUAACCUCAAUUUCUUCAUCAGAAAAAAAUCAAUAAUUCUCGGAAACUAGGGUGAAAAAUUAUAAAUUGUUUUCAGGGUCUGAAAAGGUAAUUUUAGUUCUUCAAAAUAAAGU